AUUGAACGCUGGCGGCAGGCCUAACACAUGCAAGUCGAGCGGUAGAGAGGUGCUUGCAUCUCUUGAGAGCGGCGGACGGGUGAGUAAUGCCUAGGAAUCUGCCUAGUGGUGGGGGAUAACGUUCGGAAACGGACGCUAAUACCGCAUACGUCCUACGGGAGAAAGCGGGGGAUCUUCGGACCUCGCGCCAUUAGAUGAGCCUAGGUCGGAUUAGCUAGUUGGUGAGGUAAUGGCUCACCAAGGCGACGAUCCGUAACUGGUCUGAGAGGAUGAUCAGUCACACUGGAACUGAGACACGGUCCAGACUCCUACGGGAGGCAGCAGUGGGGAAUAUUGGACAAUGGGCGAAAGCCUGAUCCAGCCAUGCCGCGUGUGUGAAGAAGGUCUUCGGAUUG
rnacentral:rRNA from 1 species